UUCCUUCUAUUGGUGCAAAGCUCCUUCAGAAAUUUGGCAUACCUAGGAAUUUGCUUAACAGCGUCUAGCAGUGGUAUGUUGAUCUCCACUUUUCUGAAAGUCUCAAGAAUCUCCUUUUCUUCCUUUUCUUUUUGUGUUCUUUCAAAUCUUUUUGGGAAAGGAGGUGGGAUGUGAAAGCUUGUCUUUGGAUCGGUCUUGUGUGCAGGAGGUGGUUCUGACUGAGAUGGG
rnacentral:lncRNA from 1 species